UACAUGGGGUGCAAACGUUGCUCGGAAUUAUUGGGCGUAAAGCGCGCGUAGGCGGUUACUUAAGUCGGAUGUGAAAGCUCUCGGCUUAACUGAGGAAGUGCACCCGAAACUGAGUAGCUAGAGUACGAAAGAGGGUCGCGGAAUUCCCGGUGUAGAGGUGAAAUUCGUAGAUAUCGGGAGGAACACCGGUGGCGAAGGCGGCGACCUGGGUCGAGACUGACGCUGAGGCGCGAAAGCGUGGGGAGCAAACAGG
rnacentral:rRNA from 1 species